GCUGACUCUUGCUUGUGGUGGGGUAGCCCUGAAUUCUUUUGACGACCUAAGUCCUGACUGCUUGGGACAUGCAGGACUUGUAUAUGAGUAUACAUUGGGAGAAGAGAAGUUUACCUUUAUUGAGAAAUGUAACAACCCUCGUUCUGUCACAUUAUUGAUCAAAGGACCAAAUAAGCACACACUCACUCAGAUCAAAGAUGCAGUGAGGGAUGGCUUGAGGGCUGUCAAAAAUGCUAUUGAUGAUGGCUGUGUGGUUCCAGGUGCUGGUGCCGUGGAAGUGGCAAUGGCAGAAGCCCUGAUUAAACAUAAGCCCAGUGUAAAGGGCAGGGCACAGCUUGGAGUCCAAGCAUUUGCUGAUGCAUUGCUCAUUAUUCCCAAGGUUCUUGCUCAGAACUCUGGUUUUGACCUUCAGGAAACAUUAGUUAAAAUUCAAGCAGAACAUUCAGAAUCAGGUCAGCUUGUGGGUGUGGACCUGAACACAGGUAAGAGAAUGCAACUGUUGUAGAGGGAAAACUAGAUGUAAUACGUGUGAGUUGAAGCCAGGAAAGAUUAAAAAUGUUUUGCUUUGCAAUUUGACACCAGUGCUGUUAGGGAACUCUGGGUUCUAAAAUGGGAUAAAAUAGGAUAUUAAUAAAAAAUGGAAUGACUAGGUAUAAUUAAGGGACGAGUAGACAUGAGUAAUUUGGGGAUAC
rnacentral:sRNA from 1 species